UUCCAAUUGCUUCCAAUAGGCAUCCAGUCAAUCUUGUGCUGUGGUUUUACUUAAAUGUAAAUUCAGUGCUAAGUUGCUCCCAAGAAAGAGAGAGGGUUGACUGGUGUAAAAAAAAUGCUCACCUCGACCUUCUUUAUUGCUACAUCAAGGCAGCUCACUACAGUUGUACUCUUUGCUACUGCUUGAGAUUUACUUGUGUCCCUGGUGUGUUGUGAUAAGCCUCUGAAUGGCACUGCUGUGAAGGUUUUGUUCUUCCCAAAGACUCUCCUGAGGUUCAGUGAAGGCAAGUAGAGUUUGCUUGAGUUUAAAGGUAAAUUGUGUAUGUCACUAUAAUAAAGGGAAAUAUGCAAAGUGUUGGUUGAAUUUAA